rnacentral:rRNA from 1 species
AGAGUUUGAUCAUGGCUCAUGAUGAACGCUAGCGGGAGGCCUAACACAUGCAAGCCGAGCGGUAUUGUUUCUUCGGAAAUGAGAGAGCGGCGUACGGGUGCGGAACACGUGUGCAACCUGCCUUUAUCUGGGGGAUAGCCUUUCGAAAGGAAGAUUAAUACUCCAUAAUAUAUUGAACGGCAUCGUUUAAUAUUGAAAGCUCCGGCGGAUAGAGAUGGGCACGCGCAAGAUUAGCUAGUUGGUGAGGUAACGGCUCACCAAGGCAAUGAUCUUUAGGGGGCCUGAGAGGGUGAUCCCCCACACUGGUACUGAGACACGGACCAGACUCCUACGGGAGGCAGCAGUGAGGAAUAUUGGUCAAUGGGUGCAAGCCUGAACCAGCCAUCCCGCGUGAAGGAUUAAGGUCCUAUGGAUUGUAAACUUCUUUUGUAUAGGGAUAAACCUACCCUCGAUCCUGG